UAAAACAGCAAAUUUAUGUAUUUACACUUCGGUAUUUGAAUAGAAUCAACAAAGAAUAUAAAACCUGUUAGUUAGUGAGCUUUAGAGGUCCUGGCAGCAGGUAUUGUGUUACCUUUGACAAAGCCAGGCUAGCUUUUUCCCACUGUUUACAGUGUUUUGCUAAGCUAAGCUUACCAGUUGCAGGCUCUAGCUUUAUACUGUGUUUAUCAUACAUGUAAGUUGUAUCAAUCUUCUGAUCUAAGUCUCAACAAGAAAGCAAAUAGGCACAUGUGCACAUGAAAGCUGACAGUGACAGUGAGAGAGCAUGAGAAUGAGCAAAGUGAGGAAGCGAGAAGGAGGUUGGCGGAAAUAAAAAGAGCAUCUUAAAGACAGCGCUGUGAGCUUCUCUCACUUUCUUGGAAAUGACUGCACACGCUCCAGCUGUGGCGUGAAACCCGUGAGGACACUCAUUCCCCUGCUGAUAUGAGGCAGAGAGAUGGGGAAGUGGAGAUAAAAAUAAUUUCGCGGCCCGAUCCAUCUGAUGAUAUGGGAGUUCUCCUUUGCUGUUACCAUGGCAACCGGGAACAGGAAGGAAGUGGAAAAGUUGCAGCGCUCAGCAAGACCGGCUGAAGCUCUGACAGAAACUAGAAUAAGUGAUUACAGCCCGUAGAGGAUCCUGUAUGUGUGUGUUGGUAGUAUAUUAAAACACACAACUGUCAAGGCUGCUAUUAGUGGAAACUCUCCUAUUACUGGGUUCUUCCUUAUUAGCGCAGUAGCAUGCUGCGGUAGUAAUGGUGAGCUCUUAUCUUAGCGCUGUGGGCUUUAGCCAGAGUCUUAUCUGACCCCAUUAGAUUAUCUAUCAGCUUGCAUAAUCAGGUUCUACAAACUCCCACUGACCUGAACUGCACUGUGGUGUACCAAAUCAACUGAACUGAGACCGUGCCCUGAUUAUAG